rnacentral:rRNA from 1 species
GACGAACCGUGCAAACGUUGUUCGGAAUCACUGGGCUUAAAGGGCGCGUAGGCGGUCGACCAAGUCCGGGGUGAAAUCUUUCGGCUUAACCGGAAAAGUGCCUUGGAUACUGGUCGGCUGGAGGGAGGUAGGGGCAGGUGGAACUUCCGGUGGAGCGGUGAAAUGCGUUGAUAUCGGAAGGAACGCCGGUGGCGAAAGCGACCUGCUGGACCUCUUCUGACGCUGAGGCGCGAAAGCUAGGGGAGCAAACGGG